UGCCAGCAGCCGCGGUAAUACGGAGGGGGUUAGUGUUGUUCGGAAUUACUGGGCGUAAAGCGCACGUAGGCGGAUUAGUAAGUUAGAGGUGAAAUCCCAGGGCUCAACCCUGGAACUGCCUUUAAUACUGCUAGUCUUGAGUUCGAGAGAGGUAAGUGGAAUUCCGAGUGUAGAGGUGAAAUUCGUAGAUAUUCGGAGGAACACCAGUGGCGAAGGCGGCUUACUGGCUCGAUACUGACGCUGAGGUGCGAAAGCAUGGGUAGCGAAGAGGAUUAGAUA
rnacentral:rRNA from 1 species